UGCGGUAGUGCCAGAGUAGCGGGGGUUGGAUAUCCCUCGCGAAUAACGCAGGCAUCGACUGCGAAGGCUAAACACAACCUGAGACCGAUAGUGAACAAGUAGUGUGAACGAACGCUGCAAAGUACCCUCAGAAGGGAGGCGAAAUAGAGCAUGAAAUCAGUUGGCGAUCGAGCGACAGGGCAUACAAGGUCCCUUGACGAAUGACCGAGACGCGAGUCUCCAGUAAGACUCACGGGAAGCCGAUGUUCUGUCGUACGUUUUGAAAAACGAGCCAGGGAGUGUGUCUGUAUGGCAAGUCUAACCGGAGUAUCCGGGGGAGGCACAGGGAAACCGACAUGGCCGCAGGGCUUUGCCCGAGGGCCGCCGUCUUCAAGGGCGGGGAGCCAUGUGGACACGACCCGAAUCCGGACGAUCUACGCAUGGACAAGAUGAAGCGUGCCGAAAGGCACGUGGAAGUCUGUUAGAGUUGGUGUCCUACAAUACCCUCUCGUGAUCUAUGUGUAGGGGUGAAAGGCCCAUCGAGUCCGGCAACAGCUGGUUCCAAUCGAAACAUGUCGAAGCAUGACCUCCGCCGAGGUAGUCUGUGAGGUAGAGCGACCGAUUGGUGUGUCCGCCUCCGAGAGGAGUCGGCACACCUGUCAAACUCCAAACUUACAGACGCCGUUUGACGCGGGGAUUCCGGUGCGCGGGGUAAGCCUGUGUACCAGGAGGGGAACAACCCAGAGAUAGGUUAAGGUCCCCAAGUGUGGAUUAAGUGUAAUCCUCUGAAGGUGGUCUCGAGCCCUAGACAGCCGGGAGGUGAGCUUAGAAGCAGCUACCCUCUAAGAAAAGCGUAACAGCUUACCGGCCGAGGUUUGAGGCGCCCAAAAUGAUCGGGACUCAAAUCCACCACCGAGACCUGUCCGUACCACUCAUACUGGUAAUCGAGUAGAUUGGCGCUCUAAUUGGAUGGAAGCGGGGGCGAGAGCUCCUGUGGACCGAUUAGUGACGAAAAUCCUGGCCAUAGUAGCAGCGAUAGUCGGGUGAGAACCCCGACGGCCUAAUGGAUAAGGGUUCCUCAGCACUGCUGAUCAGCUGAGGGUUAGCCGGUCCUAAGUCUCACCGCAACUCGACUGAGACGAAAUGGGAAACGGGUUAAUAUUCCCGUGCCACUAUGCAGUGAAAGUUGACGCCCUGGGGUCGAUCACGCCGGGCAUUCGCCCGGUCGAACCGUCCAACUCCGUGGAAGCCGUAAUGGCAGAAGCGGACGAACGGCGGUAUAGGGAAACGUGAUUCAACCUGGGGCCCAUGAAAAGACGAGCAUAGUGUCCGUACCGAGAACCGACACAGGUGUCCAUGGCGGCGAAAGCCAAGGCCUGUCGGGAGCAACCAACGUUAGGGAAUUCGGCAAGUUAGUCCCGUACCUUCGGAAGAAGGGAUGCCUGCUCCGGAACGGAGCAGGUCGCAGUGACUCGGAAGCUCGGACUGUCUAGUAACAACAUAGGUGACCGCAAAUCCGCAAGGACUCGUACGGUCACUGAAUCCUGCCCAGUGCAGGUAUCUGAACACCUCGUACAAGAGGACGAAGGACCUGUCAACGGCGGGGGUAACUAUGACCCUCUUAAGGUAGCGUAGUACCUUGCCGCAUCAGUAGCGGCUUGCAUGAAUGGAUUAACCAGAGCUUCACUGUCCCAACGUUGGGCCCGGUGAACUGUACAUUCCAGUGCGGAGUCUGGAGACACCCAGGGGGAAGCGAAGACCCUAUGGAGCUUUACUGCAGGCUGUCGCUGAGACGUGGUCGCCGAUGUGCAGCAUAGGUAGGAG
rnacentral:rRNA from 1 species